rnacentral:rRNA from 1 species
UACGUAGGGUGCAAGCGUUGUCCGGAAUUAUUGGGCGUAAAGAGCUCGUAGGCGGUCUGUCACGUCUGCUGUGAAAACUCGGGGCUUAACCCCGGGCCUGCAGUGGGUACGGGCAGACUAGAGUGCGGUAGGGGAGACUGGAAUUCCCGGUGUAGCAGUGAAAUGCGCAGAUAUCAGGAGGAACACCGGUGGCGAAGGCGGGUCUCUGGGCCGUAACUGACGCUGAGGAGCGAAAGCGUGGGGAGCGAACAGG